UACGUAGGGGGCGAGCGUUGUCCGGAAUCAUUGGGCGUAAAGAGCUCGUAGGCGGUUCAGUAAGUCGGGUGUGAAAGCUCCGAGCUCAACUCGGAGAGGCCACUCGAUACUGCUGUGACUAGAAUCCAGUAGGGGAGUGUGGAACUCCUGGUGUAGCGGUGAAAUGCGCAGAUAUCAGGAAGAACACCAGCGGCGAAGGCGGCACUCUGGGCUGGUAUUGACGCUGAGGAGCGAAAGUGUGGGUAGCAAACAGG
rnacentral:rRNA from 1 species